rnacentral:tRNA from 1 species
GCCGCCGUAGCUCAGCCUGGUUAGAGCGCCACGCUCAUAACGUGGAGGUCGUGCGUUCAAAUCCCACCGGCGGCA